rnacentral:lncRNA from 1 species
CUGCUUCGUAACGAUUGAGCUUUUGUGUGUGAUGUUCUAGGGUUUUUCUCGUAUUGCUCGCUUUCUACAAUCUUGAUGUCUUUCUCAGUAAAUCUCUAGAAUGUUGGUUUUGAAUUUUUUUGAUAAACGAUUAGAUAGAGGAAAUUGUAAAGAUUACAUAGUCUUAGUGUUCGAAACAAAGGCGAGAGGAAACUGAAGAAAUCUAUGAUAUACAUUUGCACUGGUUUUUGGUGAUUUCUUAGUAGAAUUGGGCGUAAUCUACUUGUAAAUGCUCAAUGGGUGAGUAGGCUUGAAUCUGAACAUUUGGGCCUUUGUGACGAAAAUUCUUCGUGUUCAUUUACUUUUCUGCAAAUGGUUGUUAAAAUUCUUAGUGAAUUUGAUUCUGGGACCAACAAGUGGUAUCAAAGCAGAAAAUUCUGUCCAUCGGGCGUUAGGGUUUGAUUUUUUCAAAACUCUAGUUUACGUUUUCGGAACUGGAAACUGUUAAAUUUUUUAAUGAUUUCUAGAAUAAAUCGUCUUCAAAAGUUUUCUCCUAGUAAAAUUGUUCUUCAAUACAACCUUUGGUUGGAUUUUUUUUUUCAAUGAUCUAGUGUUUUCCAAACUGUUGAUGAAAACUAGAGUUGGGUCUUUUUGAUCUUGAACUUUUUUGAGAAAGACCUUUCGAUUUGCUUCUGAUUUGGAUGUUUCUUGCUGUUUACUGAGUUUUGGCGAUUUGACUCUUUACUCACCACAGAGUUGGUGUGAUAUCUUAAAAAUCGUCCUCAGUGCUAGUAAGUUGGGCUGACUCACUGAAAGUUUUUAUGUUAUUCUUGACUUAUUGUUGAGUUGUGUUGAGUCACUGUGACAUGUGGAGCAUUUGUGCAUAACUCUGAAUUUUAGUACUGGUUCUAAUAUUUCAUCCCUAUCUUUCUGUACUGAAACUUCAAAGUUUCAACUUUGGUAUAAUUCUCCAUACUUUUACUUUUGUUCAGACACAAUAAAAUGUUAUUGUUGAAUUUUUGACCUGGCUAUUAAGGUAAUUGAUCUACCAUUGCUUUUCUUUGUUCAAGAUCUCUUAAGAGGAUCUGAAAAUCUGAGGGAGUAGUGGAUCUACCUGUCAUCACCUCUUAAACCUGUCAAACUAACAAUACAAUCAUUUAUAUCGAUCUGAGUUGGUCAUUGCACUGUUAUAUAAUUCUGAAUUGCUUGGAUUAUGCUUUUAUAAACUGUGUAAAUUGCAUGGUAAGAAGAAUUUUUUGUAAUACUCUGUCUUAUUUUGAAAUUUGAAUAUCUUAUAAUCUCCUUAGUUUGCUUGCAUCUAUUAUACUCUGUGUAUUGUAUAAAUCUGAUUAUGUGACUUUAUCUAGUGUUAUGACAAUUGCACACAAAUUUAAAGGGACCAAGGAUGUUAAUCUCUGACAUCAAAAGAUGAAGGCUCUAUUCUUACAACAGAGGUGUGUUGCUGCUCUUGAUGGAUCAUGGGGUAUUGAAAUUAGUGUCUAUAGGAGACAAUAAUUAGGUGAGGUCGCUUGGAGUACAAUCUUCCUAUGUUUGAUAGUGUGAAAACAAAGAUUGGGGAAACUAUAACUAUUGCAGCCUUGUGGACUAAUUUAGGUUGCCUCUACUUAACUAAGACAAUGCCUAAUAAAUACUAUCUCCUUAGACAAUUCUAUAAUUUCAGAUUUGAUACCUUCUCUAUUUUAGAAGAAAACAUUGAUAAAUUCACUAAAUUGAUUCAAGAUCUUGCUAAUUGUGAUAAGAAGCUAUCUGAUGAUCAACAAACUGUUGAUCUGUUGAAUGCUUUAGGUGAUAAAUAUAGAGAACUUAGAAAUGCUUUAGAAUAUAGAAGAGAGGAUUUGACCAUUGAUAUUAUUACCUCAGCCUUAAGGAAUAGAGAACUUGAACUAAGUGCUGAAGUCAAGGACUUCAAAUUUGGAGAAGGGCUAAACAUUAAAGAAAAGUUGAAUCAAAAUAAAAAGAGAAAUCAAUGCAAUUUUAACUCUCUAAAAGCGAGGAGAUCUCAAACUUCCAAAUUUAGAAAUAAGUUCAAGAGUCAACUGACAUCUAAGAAUCAAGAUAGAAAAUGUUAUUAUUGUGGUAAAACUAGACAUCUUAUGAAAGAUUAUUUCAAAAAGAUAUCUUAUAUGAAAGGAAAACCUAAUUCUGAUGGGUUAGCUUGGAAUGGUGAUUUGAAGUGCAAGGUGUUGUCCUUGUUACUUCAACUAAAAGAAACCCAAAGGAAUGAGGUCUUGACUUUGGCUGUUCUUUUCAUAUGUAUCCCACUAAAGAAUGGUUUACCGAGUUUAAUGAUUUGAAUGGUGGUCAAGUCGAAAUGGGCAAUGAUAUGACUUGCAGAAUAAAAGGUAUUGGUAAAGUUAACCUUCUGUUGAAAAACAAUCAUAUUCUUGAAUUUUCCUUAACAAGAUAUGUUCCUUAGCAUCAGAGGAAUAUGAUUUUCUUAGGUAAAUUGGAUAAUAAAUAUGAGAUUAGAAUCCAUAUAGGAUUUACCAAAUUGAAUCUCAAUUCUAGAAAGAUAAUCUCCCCGACCAAGGUUAUGAAAUCUACGCACUUCGAGUUGAACCAUUAGUUGGAAUCUAUUAGCUACUAUUCAAUCCUCUGAUAUAUAUCUAUAAUCCGGCAUAAAAGACUAUGGCAUGUUAGUGAAAAUGGAUUGAUGAUUAUUAACGAACUUGAAUGUUUUGGAAAAGAUGAUAUUAAGAGUUUGAAAUUUAGAGAAGAUUGUGUCAUUGAAAAACAGAACAAACUAUCCUUUAGAACAAGAAUUCAUAAAUCCACAUCAAUACUUGAUUAUUUACAUGCUAACUUUUGGGGUCCAGCAUCAUCAAGCAUUUUGAGUGGAUUUAGAUUAUAUCUACUGAUUGUAGAUGAUUUUUCAAGAAAAAUUAGGACUUUCCUUUUAAAAACAAAAUUUGGCACCUUCCAAAAUUUUAAAUAAUGGAAAUUGAUGAUUGAAAAUCAAACAAAUAAGAAAAUCAAAGCACUUAAAACAGAUAAUAGGCUUGAAUUUUGUAAAACUGAAUUUGAUCUCUUUUGUAAAGAAUUUUGUAUCUUAAGGCAUAAAACAACAACAUAUUUGCUGAGAGAAUAAACAAAACUUUACUUGAAAAAGUUAGACGUAUGUUGUUAAGUUUCGGCCUUCCAAAACUAUUUUGGGUUGAAGCCUUAACGACUGCCACUUAUCUGGUAAAUAAGAUUCCUUCUAGUGUUAUUGAUUGCAAAAUCUCUAAAUUACUAUGGUCUGGAAUGUUUCCAAAUUAUUCUAAACUUAAAGUAUUUGGUUGUGUUACUUACUUACACCAGAAUGAAGACAAACUUGAACCCAGAUAUCUAAAAUGUAUUUUCUUGGGUUAUGGUCAAGAGACUUAGGGAUAUAAGCUUUGGAUAAGGGAACAACAUAGCUUUAAAGUCACCGUAAGUAGAAAUAUUAUCUUCAAUGAAAAUGUCUUUCCUUGUAAUAGUUCUAAGAACCAUAAACAACAUGAAUCUUUCAUUGUUAAAGAAACCUUUUUGGAAAGAAAUUAAGAUAAUUCUGCUGAACCCAUUGAUAUUAUUGAGGUAGAGACCACUCAACCUGAAACAGAUCAACCUGAAAAUGAAUCUAAAAAUGAAUCCUAGACUAAGACCCUGUCAGACUAUUAGUUCACCAGAGACAAAGCUAGAAAAAAAUAGGCAUUCUUCCACCGGAAUUAAUAUUGAUGAAUUUGUUACCUUCUACUUGGAAUUAAAAUCUGUUAAUUCUAAACCCACAACUUUCGAAGAAACCAUUAACUAUAAAGAAUCCAAACUGUGGAUGGGGGCUUUGAGAGAAGAAAUUGACUCCUUAAUUAGAAAUAAGACAUGGAUUUUGGUUAAUAAACCAAAAAAUCAAAAAGUUGUUGAUUGUAAGUGGGUCUACAAAGUGAAAGAAGGAGACUCUAAUAAUGAAGGUAAAAGAUAUAAGGUCAGAUAGUGGCCAAGUGUUUUAUACAAAGAGAGAGUGUACACUAUAAUGAACUCAUCUCGUCUAUUGCUAAAUACACUUCCAUUAGAAUUUUGCUUGCUCGUUUCUGUACACUUCAACUGGGAAUUGGGUCAACUUGAUGUCAAAACUGUCAUUUUAAAUAAUGACCUUGAUGAAACAAUUUACAUUAAUCAUGUCUAUCUUUUGAAAAAGUCACUUUAUGGUUUGAAGCAAGCACCUAGGCAAUGAUAUAAGAAAUUUAACUCAUACAUUUAAAGCAUGGGAUUAUCUUAGAGAAGUUUUGAUUCAUGUCUUUACUUCAACAGCUCAGGUGGAUCGGAUUCCAUCUAAUUACUCUUAUAGAUUGAUGAUAUGCUUUUUGCUUGUCAUGAUAUAUCUGAAGUUGAUUUUGUCUAAUCAAGAUUAAAGGCUGAAUUUGAAAUGAAAGAUCUGAGACAAUCUAAAAGAAUCUUAGGAAUGGAAAUAAAAAGAUAUAGGAGCAAUUGUGUGCUCUAUGUAAAACAAUCUGCCUCGGUGAAAAAAGGUUUUAGAGAAAUUCUUUAUGAUUGAAAGUAAACAUGUAUCUUUACCUAUUGCAAAUUACUUUAAAUUAUCAAGUGAACAAUCUCCUCAAAUUGAUGAAGAAUAUGAUAGGAUGAGUAAAAUACCAUAUGCAAAUGUUGUUGACUCAAUUAUGUAUUUUAUGAUAUGUUCUAGACUUGAUUUAGCUCAUGGUAUUAGUAUUUUGAAUAGAUUUAGGGCUAAAACUCACUGGUUAGCAAUAAAAUGGAUGUUAAGAUACUGAAGGAGUUCACUUGACUUAGGUUUAAAAUUUCAAAGGUGUAAUGAAGGUAUGAUUUUGAAAGGAUAUAAUGAUUCUAACUUUGCAGGUGAUUUGGAUAAAAGAAUAUCAACCUCUCCUUGUGUUUUUACCCUCAGUGAUGGUUGUAUAAGUUGGAAAUCUCAGCUACUAAACUUGUAGCUUUAUCUUCCACUGAAGUCGAAUACAUUGCAGCGUGUGAUGCUAUGAAAGAAAGACUAUGGCUGAUCUAUUGAUUGAAAGUGGUUUUAUGAAUGAAGUAGUUAGAAUUUUUAUAGAUAAUCAAAGUGCCAUACACUUCAAGUAAAAAUUCUGCAUAUCAUGAUAGAACUAAAAGUUUCACUUCGUAAAAAACAUGGUUGAAGUAGGAAUGAUAAAUCUGGUUAAAAUUCCAACCGAAUAUAAUCCUUUUGAUAUCGGUACUAAAAUUCUACCUUUGAACAAGAUUAAAAAUUGCUUAACAAUUCUGAAUAUUAUGUGAAAGAAACAAAUUUAUUAGUGAAUUUUUCUUUACUUUUCUGUUUUCUGAGCCUUCACUAAUUUUUUUCUAGGUAACUUUAGAGCAAAUGAAACUUGCUAGUAAUGUUUGAUUCCAAUAAAAUGAUCUAUGAAUAGUUUAUCAAGUUGGAGAUUGUUGGAUUUGGGCCUGAUGCUUCACUAUUCAUUAGGCUCUAGUUUUUUGGCAUUGGGCUAUUUUUAAUUGGCUUAUUGAUGAUCAUGUUUGGCCCUUUGAUCAUCCGUUACCAAAUUGCGUUUCAGUAACACCACUUUGGCCUCUAGAGAUACUUUUGUUCUGGACCCUCCAUCUACUAGAAUUAUAGCCGUUGGAUCUGUGGUUACACGUGGAAUAUAUAAAGCCUCUCUCUCCUCAUAACGAUUGAGUUUUCAUGUGUGAUGUUAUAGGAGUUUUCUCAUUUUGCUCUCUCUCAGUAAUCUUGAUGUCUUUCUCCAUAAAUCUUUUGAGUGUUGGUUUUGAUUAUUUUUGGUAAAUGAUUAGUGAGAGGAAAUUGUAAAGAUUACGGUGCUUGUGUUUGAAAGAGAAGCGAGAGGAAACUGACUGGUUCUUGGUGAUUUCUUAGUAGAAUUGAGCUUAAUUUACUUGUAGAUGCUCUUCCAGCAUCCUUGCCCUUGACAGUUGGAUUAGUCGAGCUAAGGACCCUGUGAAACUGAUUUGAAUUCAAAUCCAUUUGAGAUCGAUGGCUCGGGCCUCAAUGCAUCCUUUAUGAGUUGACUAAGUCUCUAUAAGUCAAAAAGCUUUGUAGAGGAGAUUCCCAUGAGAGACAUAAAGAUUGACUAGACAGAAGGAUUCAUGUAGCGGAAUGACACGUAUUCGCAGUCCUCUACACCAGAUGGAUGAGUAGGCUUGAAACUGAACAUCCGGGCCUUUGUGGAGAAAAUUCUUCUUGUUCAUUUAAUUUUUUGCAAACGGUUGUUAAAAUUAUUUGGGAAUUCGAUUCUGAGACCAACAUGUACUAUACCAUUGAUCUACAUUGGAAAGAGAACUACUACUAGUUUAUGUACUACCAAACUACUAGUUUAUGCACUACCAAAAAGGCAUUUUUUUUUUUUUUAUUUCAAGCUCUCUAAAGUCUAAACAGAUAUUGUUUUUAGCA